GGCGGCCGUAACAAUAACGGUCCUAAGGUAGCGAAAUUCCUUGUCGGGUAAGUUCCGACCUGCACGAAUGGCGUAACGAUGGCCACACUGUCUCCUCCUGAGACUCAGCGAAGUUGAAGUGUUUGUGAUGAUGCAAUCUCCCCGCGGCUAGACGGAAAGACCCCAUGAACCUUUACUGUAGCUUUGCAUUGGACUUUGAACCGGUUUGUGUAGGAUAGGUGGGAGGCUUUGAAGCAGGGUCGCUAGAUCUUGUGGAGCCAACGUUGAAAUACCACCCUGGUGCGUUUGAGGUUCUAACCUAGGUCCAUUAUCUGGAUCGGGGACAGUGCAUGGUAGGCAGUUUGACUGGGGCGGUCUCCUCCCAAAGAGUAACGGAGGA
rnacentral:rRNA from 1 species